rnacentral:rRNA from 1 species
UACAGAGGGUGCGAGCGUUGAUCGGAAUUACUGGGCGUAAAGCGUGCGUAGGCGGUUAUUUAAGUCGGGUGUGAAAGCCCCGGGCUCAACCUGGGAAUUGCAUUCGAGACUGAAUAGCUAGGGUACGGUAGAGGGAAGUGGAAUUUCCGGUGUAGCGGUGAAAUGCGUAGAUAUCGGAAGGAACAUCAGUGGCGAAAGCGACUUCCUGGACCAGUACCGACGUUCAGGCACGAAAGCGUGGGGAGCAAACAGG